rnacentral:rRNA from 1 species
CCCUUAGAUGUUCUGGGCCGCACGCGCGCUACACUGAACAUAUCAGCAUGUUAUUCCCUUCCUGAGAAGGACGGGUAAACCUCUGAGCCAUGUUCAUGGUAGGGAUUGGGGCUUGCAAUUAUUCCCCACGAACCAGGAAUUCCCAGUAGGCGCAAGUCAUAAGCUUGCGUUGAUUACGUCCCUGCCCUUUGUACACACCGCCCGUCGCUCCUACCGAUUGAAUGUGUUGGUGAGGAGCUCGGAUUGGCAGCAGUUGGUGGUUCGCCACCGGCUAUUGCUGAGAAGUCCUCCAAACCGCCCCAUUUAGAGGAAGGAGAAGUCGUAACA